rnacentral:rRNA from 1 species
AUUGAACGCUGGCGGCAUGCCUUACACAUGCAAGUCGAACGGUAACAGGUCUUCGGAUGCUGACGAGUGGCGAACGGGUGAGUAAUACAUCGGAACGUGCCUAGUAGUGGGGGAUAACUACUCGAAAGAGUGGCUAAUACCGCAUGAGAUCUACGGAUGAAAGCAGGGGAUCGCAAGACCUCGUGCUACUAGAGCGGCCGAUGGCAGAUUAGGUAGUUGGUGGGAUAAAAGCUUACCAAGCCGACGAUCUGUAGCUGGUCUGAGAGGACGAUCAGCCACACUGGGACUGAGACACGGCCCAGACUCCUACGGGAGGCAGCAGUGGGGAAUUUUGGACAAUGGGCGAAAGCCUGAUCCAGCAAUGCCGCGUGCAGGAUGAAGGCCUUCGGGUUGUAAACUGCUUUUGUACGGAACGAAAAGCCCCGGGUUAAUACCCUGGGGUCAUGACGGUACCGUAAGAAUAAGCACCGGCUAACUACGUGCCAGCCGCCGCCGUAA